ensembl:lncRNA
UGCAAAUUGCCACCACUCUCCUCCUAGAGACAGAUGACUUGACAAACAUCUGUCUUUUCUGCGGCGAAGAAGAGCAUGAAACUGACAACAAAUGGAUUCAGUGUGAGAUGUGUUUGCGGUGGUUCCACCAGCUCUGCGUGAAAAGCCCACCACCAGAAGACGUGUUUAUUUGUUUCGCUUGUACAUAGUUGACACUAAAGGUGCACAGCUAGUGUUCUUAUGGCACACAUUGUUGAGAACACACAUAUCGACAUAUAUAUAUAUGUAGAUGUUAAAUUAAGAAGUCUAAAAAAAGAAAAUGGUCUCCAAAG